rnacentral:rRNA from 1 species
AGAGUUUGAUCCUGGCUCAGGAUGAACGCUAGCGGCAGGCUUAACACAUGCAAGUCGAGGGGCAGCGGGGAGGAAGCUUGCUUUCUCCGCCGGCGACCGGCGCACGGGUGAGUAACACGUAUGCAACCUGCCCCUGUCAGGGGGACAACCCGCCGAAAGGCGGGCUAAACCCGCGUACAUGCCACCGGGGCAUCCCGGAGGCAGGAAAGGCUUCGGCCGGACAGGGAUGGGCAUGCGGCGCAUUAGGCAGUAGGCGGGGUAACGGCCCACCUAACCGACGAUGCGUAGGGGUUCUGAGAGGAAGGUCCCCCACACUGGUACUGAGACACGGACCAGACUCCUACGGGAGGCAGCAGUGAGGAAUAUUGGUCAAUGGUCGGGAGACUGAACCAGCCAAGCCGCGUGAGGGAGGAAGGUACAGAGUAUCGUAAACCUCUUUUGUCAGGGAACAAAGGCGGGGACGUGUCCCCGGAUGAGUGUACCUGAAGAAAAAGCAUCGGCUAACUCCGUGCCAGCAGCCGCGGUAAUACGGAGGAUGCGAGCGUUAUCCGGAUUUAUUGGGUUUAAAGGGUGCGCAGGCGGUCUGUUAAGUCAGCGGUCAAAGCCCGGGGCUCAACCCCGGCCCGCCGUUGAAACUGGCAGUCUCGAGUUGGAGAGAAGUAUGCGGAAUGCGCGGUGUAGCGGUGAAAUGCAUAGAUAUCGCGCAGAACUCCGAUUGCGAAGGCAGCAUGCCGGCUCCACACUGACGCUGAGGCACGAAAGCGUGGGUAUCGAACAGGAUUAGAUACCCUGGUAGUCCACGCAGUAAACGAUGAAUGCUGGCUGUCCGGGGGGAUUGACCCCUGGGUGGCGAAGCGAAAGCGAUAAGCAUUCCACCUGGGGAGUACGCCGGCAACGGUGAAACUCAAAGGAAUUGACGGGGGCCCGCACAAGCGGAGGAACAUGUGGUUUAAUUCGAUGAUACGCGAGGAACCUUACCCGGGCUCAAACGGGGAGUGACUCAGGCAGAGACGCCUGUUUCCCACGGGACACUCCCCGAGGUGCUGCAUGGUUGUCGUCAGCUCGUGCCGUGAGGUGUCGGCUUAAGUGCCAUAACGAGCGCAACCCCCGCGUGCAGUUGCUAACAGAUAACGCUGAGGACUCUGCACGGACUGCCGGCGCAAGCCGCGAGGAAGGCGGGGAUGACGUCAAAUCAGCACGGCCCUUACGUCCGGGGCGACACACGUGUUACAAUGGGUGGUACAGCGGGAAGCCAGGCGGCGACGCCGAGCGGAACCCGAAAUCCACUCUCAGUUCGGAUCGGAGUCUGCAACCCGACUCCGUGAAGCUGGAUUCGCUAGUAAUCGCGCAUCAGCCAUGGCGCGGUGAAUACGUUCCCGGGUCUUGCACACACCGCCCGUCA